rnacentral:rRNA from 1 species
AUACGUAGGUGGCGAGCGUUGUCCGGAAUUACUGGGUGUAAAGGGCGUGUAGGCGGGGCGUCAAGUCAGGUGUGAAAGACCGAGGCUUAACUUCGGGUGUGCAUCUGAAACUGAUGCUCUUGAGUGUCGGAGAGGAAAGUGGAAUUCCCAGUGUAGCGGUGAAAUGCGUAGAGAUUGGGAGGAACACCAGUGGCGAAGGCGGCUUUCUGGACGAUAACUGACGCUGAGGCGCGAAAGCGUGGGGAGCAAACAGGAUUAGAUACCCUGGUAGUCCACGCUGUAAACGAUGGAUACUAGGUGUAGGAGGUAUCGACCCCUUCUGUGCCGGAGUUAACACAAUAAGUAUCCCACCUGGGGAGUACGGCCGCAAGGUUGAA